rnacentral:rRNA from 1 species
UACGAAGGGGGCGAGCGUUGUUCGGAUUUACUGGGCGUAAAGGGCGCGCAGGCGGUUCUGUUUGUCGAGUGUGAAAGCCCCGGGCUCAACCUGGGAACUGCGCUCGAAACGGCGGAACUAGAGUUCGGGAGAGGAGAGUGGAAUUCCCAGUGUAGAGGUGAAAUUCGUAGAUAUUGGGAGGAACACCAGUGGCGAAGGCGGCUCACUGGCCCGAUACUGACGCUGAGGCACGAAAGCGUGGGGAGCAAACAGG